UACGUAGGGUCCGAGCGUUGUCCGGAAUUAUUGGGCGUAAAGAGCUCGUAGGCGGUUUGUCGCGUCUGCUGUGAAAUCCCGAGGCUCAACCUCGGGUCUGCAGUGGGUACGGGCAGGCUGGAGUGCGGUAGGGGAGAAUGGAAUUCCUGGUGUAGCGGUGGAAUGCGCAGAUAUCAGGAGGAACACCGAUGGCGAAGGCAGUUCUCUGGGCCGUAACUGACGCUGAGGAGCGAAAGCGUGGGGAGCGAACAGG
rnacentral:rRNA from 1 species